UUUAAUGAGAGUUUGAUCCUGGCUCAGGACGAACGCUGGCGGCGUGCCUAAUACAUGCAAGUAGAACGCUGAGGUUUGGUGUUUACACUAGACUGAUGAGUUGCGAACGGGUGAGUAACGCGUAGGUAACCUGCCUCAUAGCGGGGGAUAACUAUUGGAAACGAUAGCUAAUACCGCAUAAGAGUAAUUAACACAUGUUAGUUAUUUAAAAGGAGCAA
rnacentral:rRNA from 1 species